AUAACUGUUACAGUAGCAUGAACUAUUUCAAAUAGACAUCGCUAUCAACAGGCACUGUCACUUUCGUAACUGCUACAGUAAAAUGAACUAUUUCAAAUAGACAUCGCUAUCAACAGGCACUGUCA